AUAGUACUCCCUUCCUUUCGGAAAUGCUUGUCACAAGAAUGGAUGUCUUAGAUGUAUUUUAGUUUUAGAUACAUCCAUUUUUAUUCAUUUAUGCGACAAGUAAUUCCGAACGAAUGGAGUAUGAU
rnacentral:pre_miRNA from 1 species